AGGAUACCGGUGACCGAGUGAGAGAGAGAGAUAGCAAUCAUCGCAUGGCGCUGGGAAGCAAUCACACAUAGUUUCUCCGGUCCAUUGUAUCUGUUCUGUCCUGCUCGGUACCAAAUUGUA